rnacentral:lncRNA from 1 species
UAAAAAUUAAGUCAUUAUACAUCAAAUCCGACAGUUACAUAAAAAUUAAAAAGUCAUUACACAAGACACCAGAAUCCUCAACAGUUUUAUAUGCUUCACAAGCCAGCAGAUGCGAAAAAGUAAAUAAAAUGAGGAUGUUUCCAGGAAGCUGCCUAGGAAUUACGACUAAAAAGAAAAGCAGGUGGUCAACCAACAUAAACGGGUAGAUAAACAGUACUACUAAGAGACAGCAGCAGAAGGAAUAUGAGGUGCGUUACAUUCCCAUGCAGAAGAGAGCCAAUCCAACAAAUAGUGCAACAGAGAGGCCAGGGAAGUGGGGUGCAGCAGCUGGUGAUGUGGGGCCAUCAGCAAGGGUCUCAUUUUUCACUUGAGGAUGCACCUUCACUGGGAGCUUCAAUCCAUUUUUGCAGCUGUCCAAGCUGCCACUGGUGAAGAAUCUGACGCCCUCACUCUCGAGGGGUAUCUU